rnacentral:rRNA from 1 species
AACCCGACUCCAUGAAGCUGGAUUCGCUAGUAAUCGCGCAUCAGCCACGGCGCGGUGAAUACGUUCCCGGGCCUUGUACACACCGCCCGUCAAGCCAUGGAAGCCGGGGGUGCCUGAAGUGCGCUGCCGCAAGGAGCGUCCUAGGGUAAAACCGGUGACUGGGGCUAAGUCGUAACAAGGUAAC